rnacentral:rRNA from 1 species
GUAGUCUCGCACAGAUGCAUAUCAAUAAGCGGAGGAAAAGAAACUAACAAGGAUUCCCCUAAGUAACGGCGAGUGAAGCGGGAAGAGCUCAAAUUUGAAAUCUUAAAGGGUUUCCCUUUACGAAUUGUAGUUUAAAGAAGUGUUUUCUGUUGAGGUUUUGGUAAAAGUUCUUUGGAAUAGGACAUCAUAGAGGGUGAGAAUCCCGUAUUUGACCUUUACUUUCAACUUUGUGAUACACUUUCAAAGAGUCGGAUUGUUUGGGAAUGCAGUCCAAAAUGGGUGGUAAAUUUCAUCUAAAGCUAAAUAUUGGCGAGAGACCGAUAGCGAACAAGUACCGUGAGGGAAAGAUGAAAAGAACUUUGAAAAGAGAGUUAAACAGUACGUGAAAUUGUCAAAAGGGAAGCGUUUGACACCAGUGUUGUUUUUCUGAAAAUCAAUUAAAGAACUGUUUAUGCUAAGCUGUUUAGACUUUAUCAGCUAACUGUUUAGUUUUGAGCUUUUCUUUAAUGCACUUUUCAGUUAACAAGUCAACAUCAAUUUCUUUUGCUGUAAAAAAGCUUGAGGAAGGUGGCUUGAGAUUCGUCUUAAGUGUUUAUAGCCUCUUGCCUAUGCAGUCGGAGAGAUUGAGGUCUGCAGCGUAGAUCCUUCGGGGCUAAAUGCAUUUGUGCUAAGUUAUAGCAUUUUAUAGACAACUUGUUGACUAUGAUUUGUCUUGUAGCUUACUCGCUUAUGUUAUUUUACCUACGCUUAGGAUGUUGAACUACUGAGACAUAGA